rnacentral:lncRNA from 1 species
AUAGCAUUGCUGAUAAUUCUUUUCCAUUUUUGAGAGGUAGUGGCAUACUUGUUUAUCCUUAUCCAAGUUGGAUCCCUUCUCAUGAUGAUGCAAAGUUCUCAUACUUGUGGGUGACUAGUUGAGUAUUCUCCUUAAAAUGACAAAAUGUCUUUUCCAUUAAAAAAAUGAAUCAAAACAAACUCCAUUGCACUUUGUUGGUACGUAGGCAUGAGACUUCGAAAGUCUUGGCAAACAUAAAAAAAAGAAAAAU